AACUUGCCUCUCAGCUCAGGUGUCCUCAGCAGAGUGAGUGAGGUGACCUGCAGGGAACGCUGGCCCUGGGACGGUUACCCGGCCCUGCCCUUCAGGGACGUCUGCAGGGCUCUGUGGGCUGCAGCUGCUCGCUCUCUGCUGGGUCAUCGAGAGGACGCUGGCUUAUGGCUCAGCCAGGCCACAGGUUUCUUCCACUGCCAACAGGUCACCGGGAGUUUCCCACGAGUCCAGGCUGCCAGCGGGACCGAGGACAAUCCGGCCAGCACUUACUUGACUUCUUUGAGCUUCCUGAGGCCUCCCAGGUCAGAUCGCGCCCCAGCCAGAAUCGCUAUCUGCCUGGGAUGCUCAGAGGACCGUCACGUCUGCUGCAGGGUAUGGACCAGGUCACAGAGCAGCUUGCACAGCGGCCUGGACCUGAGGGAUCUACUGCCUCUGACAUCCAGAGGCCACUGGGCGCUGUGCCUCCACCUUUGUCGGGGGGGCGGGGGGGGAGCUGGAUGGCAGCCAUUAUUAUUUACCUCAAAACAGUAACUUCUCCUGCUCAAUGCACUAGACACAAAACCAUUUCACUGAGAGGAAUUCUGAAUUCUAGUCAGAUUUGUUCUCAACUUCUGACUCUAAGAGUGUAUCAAGUCUAGAGUAGGACGGGUCGCACUCACCAGGUCCAGUGAGCUCGCGUCAUCUAUGUAACGGACCGACAGGAGUACAUCCUGUGGAUGGAAAAGGCAGUCGGGACCCUGCGACGGGCAUGCAGCUGCGGAGCUGAUCACCCAGAAGUGAGAUAAGGAGGGGAUAUGCCGGCCUUGGAGCGGAGGGAAGGCAGCUUAGAUUGAGCCGUGAAGCACAAGGGGAGGCACUGUCGGUGCGUAUGGGCACCAGGUGAGGUGGCCUUUAAGUCACUCAAGCAAAGUAAACCCACGGGUCCAGCAGCAGCAGAAGGGCCCCUGUGGCUAUAGUCUGGGUGACUGAACAGCCAUUUUCUAGGUUGUUUCUUCUAUUUGUUUUUCUCCUCCUUCUCUGUCUCCUCCUCCUCUCCCUCCUGGUCCUCCUCAUGCUCCUUCUAUUCUUCCUCCUCCACUUGCUCCUCCCAUUCCCACUCUUCUUCUUCCUUCUCCUCGACCUUUUCCCCCCUCCUUUUGCCCAAGCGAAAUCAAAAGGUUAAUGAGGAUGUGCUGCUGUCGGCACUUCCUGUGUCUUUCAAAACUUUCCCGGUGGCACAAACCUCUCCUGUUCAUCCAGGCCCGUGGCACAGCUUUCCAUUGACCACUUACCUAGCUCCAGGCAGUUCCAAUAGCUUCCGGCUACCCUUCCCCACUACAGUAGCCCUCACUCAUCAGCUCUGGGUGCGAGGGCUCAUUCUGCUGCUUUGUCUAUUUCCGUUAUGUAUUCCAGAAUCAGGCCAACUACGGAUGGGUCUGAACAAAUGUGGACCUACUUCAAAAUGGGCCUGAGCUAAAACUCAUCAGUCUUGUGAGCCUCAAAAGCUCCUAGUCUUAGUGCAGGGCCAGAGAAAAUUUUUUUUUUUUCUGAGAACAAUUUCAGUUUAGAACCAUGUCAUCACUGAAUUAUCUGGUUGUUUCUUUCUUGCAAAUAGUCACUUAUCCUGCUUUACAAAACAAAACAAAACAAAUAAUGCCAUCAUUCCACUGGGGAAAUGCCUGAAUUAAAGUGAACAAUAUACACGUUUUCUUGUCUGUUGGUCUUUUCACAAGAGGUUCUGGCCUUAAUUUUUUUUAAGUUUAAACUUGCUCAUGUCAGGGACUGCUUAAUGGGCUGACUGCAUGCUUUGUGAUUCCAGUGACAACACUUUCUACUUCACCGGGACUUCUGCCCAAGUGGAUCGGGGAAGAAAGCACUGUGCUUGCUGCCCACAGUUCCGGGCACAUGACUCACUAGCCAGCACCGGUGGGUUCCGGUCUGCCUCCUUGAAGCUGCUUUGACUUGCAGUGUUUUACUGUGAUCAGGUCUACUGUUUUCCCAUGGAGAGGCUCAGCCUCCAGCAUCUGGCCUUCAGAGAAGAGACUCACCUGGCUCUUGAGAUGUGCUGUUCCCACUCUCCCCUCUGUUCCUCAGUGUCCUGGUGGGAGGUUCGCCAGCUGGGCAUGCACAGAGUGUGGGCGAGGCCUCACAUGACCAAUCCACUCUAACACUUCUGCCUCGUGAACUUUUGAACUGCUUCUUCUUUAUUAAAACAAGAGACAGUGGGCACUUGCAUGUCACAUUUAUCAGGCCGUCACUGGAUGCAUUUGACAGUCAAUCAUCCCAGUAAACUUUUAGAGCCUUUUCUAGUCACCCACUCUGCAGAUCUGAAUGCAGAGUCUCUGUCUGGCUGGCCCAAAUUAAUACAUUCCCUCUCAUCCCAAUCUACGUUUCUUUGAACAUUCUUCUCCAAUAUGAAUUACUUACACACAUGUUCCAUGCUUUUCUGCUUGUGUGAGUCACUGCACUCAUGUAGUUCUCCCAAGGAGCAGGACACUUCCUCAGGGUCACAUGUUGUCCUUCGCAUUUAGGUUCAGCUGGCAACGGCUGCCCGAGAGCUCGCUGCCGCCAUCACACCUAGUGUGUUUCCUUUUUUUUUUUUUUUGGGGGGGGGGGAGGGCACAUUUUCCAAGUCUGUGACAAAUCAGGAAUUAUUCUAGGUUCC